ensembl:lncRNA
AUGUAUGAAUCACUGACACAGGUCAGUCCUGCAGAAUGUGCAAGAUGCUACACCAGGAUAAUUCAGUCACUGGAAGAUGUGUUGCGUAAAAUGUAUGAAUCACUGACACAGGUCAGUCCUGCAGAAUGUACAAGAUGCUACACCAGGAUAAUUCAGCCUCCUGCAGGAACUUUCAGUGUAGCAACCCCAGAAGUUGUUUUUGCUCAUAGCUGUGAAAACAUGGAAAACACAGUAUGUAUUAUUAGACAACUUCUACAAGUUUUCAAAUAAAGUAAUCACUCUGAACUGGUAUGUAUUUCUGUCCCUAUUGUUUUUAGCUGAACAGUACACUGAAGGAACGGCCUAUACUUACGGUAUUGAGCAUAUCUGACACUGGCACAGACGUUGUUGGAGUCAGUGCAGACCUCUGUGCGGCCUAAACAUUUCCUCGAGCCUCCACACCAACACGUCAAGGCUUCACCUGGAAAAAGACAGAAAAAUCAUGUUGAGCCAUUGUAUACAAACAAUAAUAUUAAUUUACAGCAGGUAUUAUUAAUGAGCUGCAGAUUCUUGUGGCUGGUUUUGAGGCUUGUGUUUCCUGUACAUUAACUCACCCUGGCUGACAAUCAGCAACACCAAAAGAGCAAGAAUCACAGUCUUCAUGUUUUCACGUGUCUGUACACUGAUCUCUGUUUGAAUGAAGCAAAGGUGGGGAGAGAAAGUGUGAGAAAUCAAAUGUCAUAUUCAUCUGGGAGCACUUUAAUCAUGCACAUAUGAAAAGCCUUAAAGAUAUCUUACCUGGUAAAUGGUCCCUGUUGAGUGUUGAUACUUCAGAUGGUUUCUGCCAGGCUGUAAGCUUCCUUUUAUGUGGACUUGUUGCGCAAUCAAUGGAAAUCCUGUGUACCAUUAACCCUAAAAUUGUCAGCUGGGUUUUACUCACAGAGUGACUUAUCAAGGCCAGACGUGGAUGCUGGGAAACCCAAUAUGACUCCACUGAUAGAAAAACUACAAAUAUUCGUAAUAUAUGUCAUAUUUGUAAAAAGAAAUAUUGUUAUUGUAAUGUUAUACUUGUAUAUUUGCACUUUUCCCACUUUGUAUUGCAACAGCUGCACAGCAAUUUCCCCCGGGAUAAAUCAAGUUUGAUCUUAGCUUCAUUAACCCUCAAACAGGGUUUGACACCUGUAAAGCCACUAGAAAUACUUUCCUAACAGGUGAAACACUGGCAUGUAGAGGGCUGUGUGCAAUGUUAAAAUAGCACCAUCAUUUUGUUAUAAUAACAACUGAUACAACAAAAGUGAGAAAAGAUCUUCAGUUAUAAUAAAGGUUUAGCUUGAAGGUUCAUUAUUGACAGUAGAAAAUGAUUCCUGAACAUUUUCCGAGAGGUGUGGCCAAAAGCUCCUGAAUAUUUGCAGUAAGUGACUUUUAAGAUUUUUUUAAUGAUAUGUUUUUUUGGCAUUUCUGCAAAUUGGCAUUCAUUUGGGGAGUUUGAGUGAGAUAGGAAGGGUGGGGAGAGAGAAGUGAAGACGUGCAGCAAUGGACCCUUGGCCGGACUAUAAACAAUACAAACCCUAAUUCCAUGUUUUCACGUGUCUGUACACCGAUCUGUUUGAAUAAAGCAAAGGUGAAAAAGUGUGAGAAAUCAAAUGCCAUAUUCAGCUGGGAGCCCUUUAAUUAUGCCCAUAUGAAAAAAACUUAAAGAUAGCUCACCUGGUAAAUUGUCCUUUUGCAGUGUUGAUACCCUGACUUUAUUUUUAUCCACUAUUGUUGAGUAAUUUACAUUACUUACACAUCAACUGUCAUGGGGUUCUU